UGUGUUUUGUGUGUGUACAUGU
rnacentral:piRNA from 1 species